rnacentral:rRNA from 1 species
AUGGCAUCUUCUUCUUCGUCGUCGCCCACGGCGAUCCAGAUACAUCCACUGACCAACGAGGACGACGGCAAGAUAACAGCCGCCGGCACAGCACCGCCAACACCUACCACGGGGCCUGCACCGGCCACGGUCAUGUCGAGCGUCUCGAACUUAGCGCAGCUCCUGCCGACGGGCACGGUGCUGGCUUACCAGGCGCUGUCCCCGUCCUUCACCAACCACGGCAAGUGCGAGACCUCCAACCAAUGGCUCACUGGGGCGCUGGUCGUCGUCCUCACCGUCUCGUGCCUCUUCUUUGCCUUCACCGACAGCGUUGUCGGUCGCCGCGAUGGAAAGCUAUACUAUGGCUUCGCAACACUACGCGGCUUCAACGUGUUCAACUUCUCCAGCGAGGAAGAAAGGAACGAGUGGAACGAUCUUGACCAGUUUCGGAAGCUCCGUCUCCGGCCGCUUGACUUUGUGCAUGCCUUCUUCGCGGCGGUGGUUUUCCUCACGGUGGCGUUUAGCGACGUCGGGCUGCAGAACUGCUUCUUCCCCGAGGCUGGCAGGAACACCGAGGAGCUGCUCAAGAAUCUGCCCAUGGGCAUGGCGUUUCUCUCCAGUUUUGUGUUCAUCAUCUUCCCCACCAAAAGGAAGGGCAUUGGGUUCACUGACAACGCUCCUCGUCAAAAGGAAAUUCAUACUCAAUCGGAUUUGACGACACCGCUCCUCGCAGGCGUAGAAGUUGCUUGA